rnacentral:tRNA from 1 species
CAAGAAUUAGUUUAUAUAAAAUAAUAAUUUUGGAUAUUAUAGAAGGCUUAAAAAAUUUUUCCUUUCUUGA